rfam:Pseudomassariella vexata strain CBS 129021 BCR38scaffold_4, whole genome shotgun sequence.
GGCCCAGUGGCGCUGUGGUAAGCGCUCUUUGUUUGGGCCUCUGGAGGGAUAUCGAAGAGGGUAAGUCUAUUAUACCUCUACCUCAGCAAAUCCCGACUGCUAACCACCCUGUAAUCGUGGGUUCAAUCCCCACCUGGGCCC